GGAUGAACGCUAGCGGCAGGCUUAACACAUGCAAGUCGAGGGGCAGCACGGGUAGCAAUACCUGGUGGCGACCGGCGCAAGGGUGCGUAACGCGUGAGCAACAUGCCCUAUACAGGGGGAUAAUCCAGGGAAACUUGGUCUAAUAUCCCAUAGUAUUUAGAGGAGGCAUCUUCUAUAAAUUAAAGCUUCGGUGGUAUAGGAUUGGCUCGCGUGACAUUAGCUAGUUGGUAAGGUAAUGGCUUACCAAGGCGAUGACGGGUAGGGGACCUGAGAGGGUGGCCCCCCACAAUGGAACUGAAACACGGUCCAUACACCUACGGGUGGCAGCAGUAGGGAAUAUUGCAAAUGGGCGAAAGCCUGAUGUAGCAACGCCGCGUGUGCGAUGAAGGUCUUCGGAUUGUAAAGCACUUUUUGGAGGGAUGAGGAAGGACAGUACCUCCAGAAUAAGCCUCGGCUAACUACGUGCCAGCAGCCGCGGUAACACGUAGGAGGCAAACGUUAUCCGGAUUCACUGGGCGUAAAGCGCGUGCAGGUGGUUCCGUAAGUAGGGCGUGAAAGCUCCCGGCUCAACUGGGAGAGGCCGUACUAAACUGCGGAGCUAGAGGAUGGUAGAGGGAGGUGGAAUUCCAGGUGUAGUGGUGAAAUGCGCAGAUAUCUGGAGGAACACCAGUGGCGAAGGUGGCCUCCUGGACCAUUCCUGACACUCAGACGCGAAAGCUAGGGUAGCAAACGGAAUUAGAGACUCCGGUAGUCCUAGCCCUAAACGAUGCAGACUAGGCGUCGGCGGUUUAAUCACCGUCGGUGUCCAAGCUAACGCGAUAAGUCUGCCGCCUGAGGACUACGGCCGCAAGGCUAAAACUUAAAGGAAUUGACGGGUCCCCGCACAAGCAGCGGAGCGUGUGGUUUAAUUCGAUGCUCCGCGAAGAACCUUACCUGGGUUUGACAUAACAGUGGUAGAGAAGUGAAAACGGACCGACCCUUCGGGGAGCUGUUACAGGUGUUGCAUGGCUGUCGUCAGCUCGUGUCGUGAGAUGUUCGGUUAAGUCCGCUAACGAGCGCAACCCGCGCUGUGUGUUACAAGUGUCACACAGUACCGCCGGUAUUAAGUCGGAGGAAGGUGCGGAUGACGUCAAGUCAGCAUGACCUUUAUAUCCAGGGCUACACACACGCUACAAUGGUCAGCACAAUAGGUUGCCAAGCCGCAAGGCGGAGCCAAUCCUCCAAAGCUGGCCUCAGUUCAGAUUGCAGGCUGCAACUCGCCUGCAUGAAGUCGGAGUUGCUAGUAACCGCAGGUCAGAAUACUGCGGUGAAUACGUUCCCGGGGAU
rnacentral:rRNA from 1 species